rnacentral:rRNA from 1 species
AGCGAACGCUGGCGGCAGGCCUAACACAUGCAAGUCGAACGAAGUCUUCGGACUUAGCGGCGGACGGGUGAGUAACACGUGGGAACGUACCUUUUGGUUCGGAACAACUCAGGGAAACUUGAGCUAAUACCGGAUGAGCCCUUAGGGGGAAAGAUUUAUCGCCGAAAGAGCGGCCCGCGUUAGAUUAGCUAGUUGGUGAGGUAAAGGCUCACAAAGGCUAAGAUCUAUAGCUGGUCUGAGAGGAUGAUCAGCCACACUGGGACUGAGACACGGCCCAGACUCCUACGGGAGGCAGCAGUGGGGAAUCUUGCGCAAUGGGCGAAAGCCUGACGCAGCCAUGCCGCGUGAAUGAUGAAGGUCUUAGGAUUGUAAAAUUCUUUUACCAGGGACGAUAAUGACGGUACCUGGAGAAAAAGCCCCGGCUAACUUCGUGCCAGCAGCCGCCGUAA